CUAUUUGAUAAUUCCAAUCUUUUUUAAUUUUUUUUAUACUUGUUGUCAACUUAAUUUUUAAGAGGCGUGCAAAAUUUGAAUUAAAAUCAAUGGUUCAUUCAUUAGUUAUUGAGGUUUAAAUUUGUUGUAGGAAUUACUUAGAAUUGAUUAGGAUUUGGUUUAGGAUUAGGAUUAGGAUUUUGGGUUGAUUUAAGAUUUGAUUAAAAUUAAAAUUUAGUUAAGUCUAGAAUUAAAGUUUUGGAUUUUAUUCAAGGCUUGGUUAAGAUUUGUUUAGGAUUUGAUUAGGAUUUGAUUAGGAUUUGACUAGAAUUUAUUAGGACUUGAUUAGGUUUUAUUUUGGAUUUGAUUAGUAUUUGGUUAGGAUUUGUUUAGGAUUUGAUUAGGAUUUGUCUGAGAUUUGACUAGGAUUUGUGUAGGAUUUGAUUAGGGCUUAUUCAGGGGUUGAUUAAGGUUUAAUAAAGAUUUGAUAAAGGUUUGACUAAGGUUUGAUUAAGAUUUGACUAAGAUUUGAUUAAUAUUUGACUAAAUUUUGACUAGGAUUU
rnacentral:lncRNA from 1 species